rnacentral:lncRNA from 1 species
UGGUAAUGGUUCAAGUUCAUCUCCUUCCUUACCCUAAACCAGUAGCCGCCGCCAUCCUAACAUCAUUUUUCUCACUCAACUUGCUCUCUCUUACUCUCCAGAUCUCUCAUGAAUUCUUUUUUGAAGGUCAUUGUUGCAACUUGCAAGUGAGGUAUUGUAUUGGUGUGUUGCCCUUCUCAUGAAUAUUUGAGAUCUAAUCUAUGCUUCAUCUAUGUUAUUCUUGUGUUUUUGCACUUUUUAAGUUAGAUCUGUUUGUUAAUAAUAUUACAACUAUGGUCUUUAAUGUUUAUGGUUCUUUUAUGUUAUGUUUCUUCUCAUAAAUCUUGCCUUUUGAUUUUAUUUAUUUCUUAACUUUUAAGCCGCUAAAAUUCGACUGAACCAAUCGCCUAAACGGAGAAACUGCAAUUCGUGGAAAGCGAUAUAUACAUGGCCUAAAUUAGGCCUUAUAUAUGAUGGCAUCCACGAUUUCGUUUAGAUUGGCGUUUUUUUCCGUCACCAUUCGAAACCCACUGUUUUUCUACCCUUACUUAAGAUUGAAAAUCAAAAUUGUAUAGCUGCAUAUUUAUAAUUUGCUAUGAUAUUCUCUCUAUAAUGUUUUUCAUUUACAUAUUUGCUUUAUUGGUCUCAAUAACAUAUGUGUUGUAUAUGUAUAUAUAAAUAUCGAUGAUAAACUAGGUAAAAUCAUAUUAUUUUAUAGAGAGAAAGUUCUUCAAAAACAUUUUUUUUCCAAAUUUUCAAUUCUACCAUUCAAACCAUUUUGAAUUUUUCAAUUCAAUGGCUUUGGCGACCUCAUCUCGGCUUCAUACCACACCACUUGAAGAAGUCAGUGCGAAUGAACAAGUACAAGUCAAUGACUGAUAUAAUGGCUAUGGCAAGGUAUGCAGUGGUUGACGUUAACAUCAUUGUGAGCAAUACGGGUCUGGCGACCAAUCGGAGGACCUGUUAUUGUGCGACAAAUGUGGUAAUGGAUUUCACAUGAAAUGUGUGAGACCAAUUGUUAUGAACAAUUCAUCUCAAACAUUUCAUGUGGAAACCGUUAUCACAUUUGUCGCACAACAUUAGCUCCUUCUGUUGGUCACUAGACCCACAUUUCUCACACAUGAUGUUAAUGUAAUCAUUUUUUUCAACCACCGUGUACCUCACCCUCACCAUUAUAUCAUCCAUCAACUUGUCCUUCUUUAGCCACAACGACUUCUUAAGGUAGUGUGGUGCAUGUGCUUGGUGAAUGAAGCUGAUGAGGUUUUGAGAUGAAGGAGAUGAGGUCGCUGAAGCCAUUGAAAGAUAGAAUUUGGAAGAAAUAUUUUUGAAGAUUUUGCAAUUUCAUUUAGUCUAUGGCAAUUAAUUGGAGAUAUGCAAGCUAGUGAAUGAUGACUAUUGGUCAUUACUUUCAUUUUAGACGAGCUUCUGCCAUGUCAGGUGUAGUCUACGCGUGGGGUGCAUAGAGCCAUGCGCGGGACGCAUGGUUCAGACCAAUUUCUUGCUCUAUAAAAAAGAAAAUUGAGAUCUGUGGAAGGGUUCCGAAUUUCCCUUUAAAGUUGAAGAUUUUGAGCAUUGUUGAAGGUUGAAGAACAUGGAUUCAAGUCUUGGAAGCACCACCUGAAGAAGUCAUCCCAACUGAAGUACAAGUCAAUGACUGAUAUAAU